CCUACGGGAGGCAGCAGUGGGGAAUAUUGCACAAUGGGGGAAACCCUGAUGCAGCGACGCCGCGUGAGUGAGGAAGUAUUUCGGUAUGUAAAGCUCUAUCAGCAGGGAAGAAAAUGACGGUACCUGACUAAGAAGCACCGGCUAACUACGUGCCAGCAGCCGCGGUAAUACGUAGGGGGCAAGCGUUAUCCGGAUUUACUGGGUGUAAAGGGAGCGUAGAGGGAUAAGCAAGUCUGAUGUGAAAAUCCGGGGCUCAACCCCGGAAUUGCAUUGGAAACUGCAUAUCUAGAGUGUCGGAGAGGCAAGUGGAAUGCCUGGUGUAGCGGUGAAAUGCGUAGAUAUCAGGAGGAACACCAGUGGCGAAGGCGGCUUGCUGGACGAUGACUGACGUUGAGGCUCGAAAGCGUGGGGAGCAAACAGGAUUAGAUACCCUUGUAGUC
rnacentral:rRNA from 1 species